GUCAAAUACUCACAACUAAAGCCGAGGGCUUGUAAAAGCUCUAUUUGACUAGCCUGAGUGCUUCAAGCACUACGUUAUCCACAAAUGUAUAGGCACCAUGAGAUACGAGUCCAAGUCUCAUGCACUGCGGUUAGUGAUUAAAUAGCUCUGAGGGGUAGGAGCAGUGUUACUAACAAGAAACUGUGGAAUAACAUUGGCGAUGGACAAUUAAC
rfam:Candidate division WS6 bacterium 34_10 MPI_scaffold_8983, whole genome shotgun sequence.